AGAUUGAACGCUGGCGGCAUGCCUUACACAUGCAAGUCGAACGGCAGCACGGGGGCAACCCUGGUGGCGAGUGGCGAACGGGUGAGUAAUGCAUCGGAACGUGCCCAGUAGUGGGGGAUAACUAGUCGAAAGAUUAGCUAAUACCGCAUACGACCUAUGGGUGAAAGCGGGGAUUCGCAAGAACCUCGCGCUAUCGGAGCGGCCGAUGUCUGAUUAGCUAGUUGGCGGGUAAAGCCC
rnacentral:rRNA from 1 species